CCCCUAGAUGUUCUGGGCCGCACGCGCGCUACACUGAACAGUUCAACAAGUCUUAACCUUGGCCGAUAGGUCUGGGUAAUCUUUGAACGCUGUUCGUGAUUGGGAUAGACCUUUGCAAUUAUGGGUCUUCAACGAGGAAUUCCUAGUAAACGCAAGUCAUCAGCUUGCAUUGUUUACGUCCCUGCCCUUUGUACACACCGCCCGUCGCACCUACCGAUUGAAUGGUCCGGUGAAAUCUCGGGACGGCGGCUUGGUCGCUUGCGUCCGACUGCUGAAACUUGAUUAAACCAUAUCAUUUAGAGGAAGGUGAAGUCGUANCA
rnacentral:rRNA from 1 species